rnacentral:rRNA from 1 species
AGCGUACACGGUGGAUGCCCUGGCAGUCAGAGGCGAUGAAGGGCGUGCUAAUCUGCGAUAAGCGCCGGUAAGGUGAUAUGAACCGUUAUAACCGGCGAUACCCGAAUGGGGAAACCCAGUGUGAUUCGUCACACUAUCAUUAACUGAAUCCAUAGGUUAAUGAGGCGAACCGGGGGAACUGAAACAUCUAAGUACCCCGAGGAAAAGAAAUCAACCGAGAUUCCCCCAGUAGCGGCGAGCGAACGGGGAGGAGCCCAGAGCCUGAAUCAGCAUGUGUGUUAGUGGAAGCGUCUGGAAAGGUGCGCGAUACAGGGUGACAGCCCCGUACACAAAAGCGCAUGUGCUGUGAGCUCGAUGAGUAGGGCGGGACACGUGGUAUCCUGUCUGAAUAUGGGGGGACCAUCCUCCAAGGCUAAAUACUCCUGACUGACCGAUAGUGAACCAGUACCGUGAGGGAAAGGCGAAAAGAACCCCGGCGAGGGGAGUGAAAAAGAACCUGAAACCGUGUACGUACAAGCAGUGGGAGCACAGGUUUACCUGUGUGACUGCGUACCUUUUGUAUAAUGGGUCAGCGACUUAUAUUCUGUAGCAAGGUUAACCGUAUAGGGGAGCCGUAGGGAAACCGAGUCUUAACCGGGCGUUAAGUUGCAGGGUAUAGACCCGAAACCCGGUGAUCUAGCCAUGGGCAGGUUGAAGGUUGGGUAACACUAACUGGAGGACCGAACCGACUAAUGUUGAAAAAUUAGCGGAUGACCUGUGGCUGGGGGUGAAAGGCCAAUCAAACCGGGAGAUAGCUGGUUCUCCCCGAAAGCUAUUUAGGUAGCGCCUCGUGAAUUCAUCUCCGGGGGUAGAGCACUGUUUCGGCUAGGGGGCCAUCCCGGCUUACCAACCCGAUGCAAACUGCGAAUACCGGAGAAUGUUAUCACGGGAGACACACGGCGGGUGCUAACGUCCGUCGUGAAGAGGGAAACAACCCAGACCGCCAGCUAAGGUCCCAAAGUCAUGGUUAAGUGGGAAACGAUGUGGGAAGGCCCAGACAGCCAGGAUGUUGGCUUAGAAGCAGCCAUCAUUUAAAGAAAGCGUAAUAGCUCACUGGUCGAGUCGGCCUGCGCGGAAGAUGUAACGGGGCUAAACCAUGCACCGAAGCUGCGGCAGCGAACGUAUCACUUAAAGCGAUUCAGCGGGUUACGAUUGACGGAGCGAAGCGACGUCAAAGCGUAUACAAAGUCGAGUCGGUUUAAGGAUACGUUCGUUGGGUAGGGGAGCGUUCUGUAAGCCCGUGAAGGUGGCCUGUGAGGGUUGCUGGAGGUAUCAGAAGUGCGAAUGCUGACAUAAGUAACGAUAAAGCGGGUGAAAAGCCCGCUCGCCGGAAGACCAAGGGUUCCUGUCCAACGUUAAUCGGGGCAGGGUGAGUCGACCCCUAAGGCGAGGCCGAAAGGCGUAGUCGAUGGGAAACGGGUUAAUAUUCCCGUACUUGGUGUUACUGCGAAGGGGGGACGGAGAAGGCUAUGUUGGCCGGGCGACGGUUGUCCCGGUUUAAGCGUGUAGGUGUGUGUUCCAGGUAAAUCCGGUUCACUUUAACACUGAGGCGUGAUGACGAGGCACUACGGUGCUGAAGCAACAAAUGCCCUGCUUCCAGGAAAAGCCUCUAAGCAUCAGGUAACAUCAAAUCGUACCCCAAACCGACACAGGUGGUCAGGUAGAGAAUACCAAGGCGCUUGAGAGAACUCGGGUGAAGGAACUAGGCAAAAUGGUGCCGUAACUUCGGGAGAAGGCACGCUGACACGUAGGUGAAGUGAUUUACUCACGGAGCUGAAGUCAGUCGAAGAUACCAGCUGGCUGCAACUGUUUAUUAAAAACACAGCACUGUGCAAACACGAAAGUGGACGUAUACGGUGUGACGCCUGCCCGGUGCCGGAAGGUUAAUUGAUGGGGUCAGCGCAAGCGAAGCUCCUGAUCGAAGCCCCGGUAAACGGCGGCCGUAACUAUAACGGUCCUAAGGUAGCGAAAUUCCUUGUCGGGUAAGUUCCGACCUGCACGAAUGGCGUAAUGAUGGCCAGGCUGUCUCCACCCGAGACUCAGUGAAAUUGAACUCGCUGUGAAGAUGCAGUGUACCCGCGGCAAGACGGAAAGACCCCGUGAACCUUUACUAUAGCUUGACACUGAACAUUGAGCCUUGAUGUGUAGGAUAGGUGGGAGGCUUUGAAGUGUGGACGCCAGUCUGCAUGGAGCCGACCUUGAAAUACCACCCUUUAAUGUUUGAUGUUCUAACGUGGACCCGUAAUCCGGGUUGCGGACAGUGUCUGGUGGGUAGUUUGACUGGGGCGGUCUCCUCCUAAAGAGUAACGGAGGAGCACGAAGGUUGGCUAAUCCUGGUCGGACAUCAGGAGGUUAGUGCAAUGGCAUAAGCCAGCUUGACUGCGAGCGUGACGGCGCGAGCAGGUGCGAAAGCAGGUCAUAGUGAUCCGGUGGUUCUGAAUGGAAGGGCCAUCGCUCAACGGAUAAAAGGUACUCCGGGGAUAACAGGCUGAUACCGCCCAAGAGUUCAUAUCGACGGCGGUGUUUGGCACCUCGAUGUCGGCUCAUCACAUCCUGGGGCUGAAGUAGGUCCCAAGGGUAUGGCUGUUCGCCAUUUAAAGUGGUACGCGAGCUGGGUUUAGAACGUCGUGAGACAGUUCGGUCCCUAUCUGCCGUGGGCGCUGGAGAACUGAGGGGGGCUGCUCCUAGUACGAGAGGACCGGAGUGGACGCAUCACUGGUGUUCGGGUUGUCAUGCCAAUGGCACUGCCCGGUAGCUAAAUGCGGAAGAGAUAAGUGCUGAAAGCAUCUAAGCACGAAACUUGCCCCGAGAUGAGUUCU